rnacentral:lncRNA from 1 species
CUUUCUUCCAUGUGCACAUCCUGAUUUCUCAACCUGGAAUCGUUUCCCUACAGCUUUCCUCAAAGGACUGUUAAUGAGUUUUCAGAGCAGGUACUUCACUGAAAUGUAACUACCACAGUGCAUCCUUUCCAUGUGACUAACUUCGCUCAUGGACCAGAAUCAGCCCUGGAGUGGUGCGGAGAGCUCGCAUUCUGUUUGGAAAGCGAAUUAUUUAAAUCCAGUAGAGGACUCUCAAAUGUGGCUGGAAAAUCUAAGAAGACUUCCCAGAGGCAGCAGCUCUAGUGUCAGGGAAAGAGCUGACAAUUUCCGUUGCUGUGGAACCCAUGUGUUAAAGACCACUACGCUGGAAUCUAGUUUUCUAUCCUAAAAUCUACCUCCUGAGUUUGAGUAAGACUUGAACUAGUUUGCAAAUAUCUGUGAUCUUCACCUUGCCUGCCUGCAAAGCCCAUAAGCAAAUUCAGAAGAGACUUCUACUUGUCCAAAGCAACAUGGAGUAAAGUGGGUCAACUAGAAUUAAAAUAUGCUCCAGCCAAAGGUGACCAUGGGAACCUAUUGAUAAGGCUCUGGGGUCAGAUUCAUCUCUGUUCAGACAACUUUAGCGGUGUGAGUCUGAGCAAGUGUUUUUUAACCUAAGUUCCCGCUUCCUCAACUGCAAAUUUAGGAAUGGUAACAUCUUCCUCAAAGUUGUAUGCUGGGGAUAACACAUGAAAGAGAUGCCUGGGCCAUAUAAUUAAAGAAAUGUUCAUUUCUUUCUUGAAUUACCUUCUACCAACUAUUUGGUCUGAGUUUAUGAAACUGUAAAUUUUGUCUAACAUUUGCCUAACAAAGCAUUAUUACCUUGUUUAAAGAAACACAAUACGUUCUAAACCAAAAA